rnacentral:rRNA from 2 species
CCCCGGCCCCAAACUUCCUUACGGGAAGGCAGCCAGUAGGGAAUUUUUCCCCCAAUGGACGAAAAUUUUGAUGGAGCCAACCCCCGCGUGAAGUGAUGAAAGGGUUUCGGCUUCGUAAAACCUCUGUUGUUGGAGAAGAACCAGGUUUCAGAGUAACUGUUGACAUUCUGGACGGUAUCCACCCAGAAAGCCCACGGCUAACUACGUGCCAGCAGCCCGCGGUAAUACGUAGGUGGCAAGCGUUGUCCGGGAUUUAUUGGGCGUAAAGCGAGCGCAGGCGGUUUUUUAGGUCUGAUGUGAAAGCCUUCGGCUUAACCGGAGAAGUGCAUCGGAAACCGGGAGACUUGAGUGCAGAAGAGGACAGUGGAACUCCAUGUGUAGCGGUGAAAUGCGUAGAUAUAUGGAAGAACACCAGUGGCGAAGGCGGCUGUCUGGUCUGUAACUGACGCUGAGGCUCGAAAGCAUGGGUAGCGAACAGGAUUAGAUACCCUGGUAGUCCAUGCCGUAAACGAUGAGUGCUAAGUGUUGGAGGGUUUCCGCCCUUCAGUGCUGCAGCUAACGCAUUAAGCACUCCGCCUGGGGAGUACGACCGCAAGGUUGAAACUCAAAGGAAUUGACGGGGGCCCGCACAAGCGGUGGAGCAUGUGGUUUAAUUCGAUGCUACGCGAAGAACCUUACCAGGUCUUGACAUCUUCUGCCAACCUAAGAGAUUAGGCGUUCCCUUCGGGGACAGAAUGACAGGUGGUGCAUGGUUGUCGUCAGCUCGUGUCGUGAGAUGUUGGGUUAAGUCCCGCAACGAGCGCAACCCUUAUUGUUAGUUGCCAGCAUUCAGUUGGGCACUCUAGCAAGACUGCCGGUGACAAACCGGAGGAAGGUGGGGAUGACGUCAAAUCAUCAUGCCCCUUAUGACCUGGGCUACACACGUGCUACAAUGGACGGUACAACGAGUCGCGAAACCGCGAGGUCAAGCUAAUCUCUUAAAGCCGUUCUCAGUUCGGAUUGUAGGCUGCAACUCGCCUACAUGAAGUUGGAAUCGCUAGUAAUCGUGGAUCAGCAUGCCACGGUGAAUACGUUCCCGGGCCUUGUACACACCGCCCGUCACACCAUGAGAGUUUGUAACACCCAAAGCCGGUGAGGUAACCUUCGGGACCAGCCGUCUAAGGGGAGCAAGAGAUGGGGG